rnacentral:rRNA from 1 species
ACUGCUAUCGGGAUACGCCUAAGCCAUGCAAGUCGAAUGGUUCUCGCAACCAUGGCAGACGGCUCAGUAACACGUAGAUAACCUACCCUCCGGUAGGGGAUAAUCCCGGGAAACUGGGCAUAAUCCCCUAUAGAUAACUUGCGCUGGAAUGCCUCGUUAUUCAAACCCCCGGGGCCGGAGGAUGGGUCUGCGGCGGAUUAUGGUAGUAGGUGGGGUAACGGCCCACCUAGCCUGUGAUCCGUACCGGACAUGAAAGUGUGUGCCGGGAGAUGGCCACUGAGACAAGGGGCCAGGCCCUACGGGGUGCAGCAGGCGCGAAAACUCUGCAAUGCGCUCACGCGUGACAGGGGAAUCCCGAGUGCGUCCUUAGCCGGACGCUUUUCGCGAGUGUAAAUAGCUCGUGGAAUAAGGGGAGGGCAAGGCUGGUGCCAGCCGCCGCGGUAAAACCAGCUCCCCGAGUGGUCAGGAUGAUUAUUGGGCCUAAAGCGUCCGUAGCCGGACAUGCAAGUCGCUAGUUAAAACCCGGGUCUCAAGCCCGAAGCUGCUAGCGAUACUACAUGCCUUGGGACCGGAAGAGGCAGAUGGUACGUUAGGGGUAGGGGUGAAAUCCUGUAAUCCUUAACGGACCACCGGUGGCGAAGGCGAUCUGCUGGGACGGAUCCGACGGUGAGGGACGAAACCCAGGGGGAGGCGAGCGGGAUUAGAUACCCCGGUUAGUCCUGGGUGUAAACGAUGCGCACUANGUGUUGGCAGAGCUAUGAGCUCUCCCGGUGCCGAAGCGAAGGCGUUAAGUGCGCCGCCUGGGGAGUACGCCGCAAGGCUGAAACUUAAAGGAAUUGACGGGGGAGCACCACCAGGGGAGGAGCCUGCGGUUCAAUUGGACUCAACGCCGGAAAGCUUACCGGAGUCGACAGCAUAAUGAUGGACAGGCUGAAGACCUUGCUUGAAGCGCUGAGAGGAGGUGCAUGGCCGUCGCCAGCUCGUACCGUGAGGCGUCCUCUUAAGUGAGGCAACGAGCGAGACCUACAUCCACAGUUGCCAGCACAAGAUGGUAUCUUGGUGGGCACACUGCGGAGACUGCCCGCUAGAAGUGGGAGGAAGGCGUAGGCCACGGCAGGUCAGUAUGCCCCGAAAACUCCGGGCCACACGCGGGCUACAAUGGCUGGGACAGAAGGCUCCCAACCUCGAGAGAGGAAGGAAAUCCUUAAACCCAGUCACAGUUGGGAUUGAGGGCUGCAACCCGCCCUCAUGAACGUGGAUUCCCUAGUAAUCGCGUGUCAACUAUCGCGCGAUGAAUACGUCCCUGCUCCUUGUACACACCGCCCGUCGUUGCACUCGAGUUGGGUUUGCCUGAGGUUGCUCUUUCUUUCGGGAAGGGGU